rnacentral:tRNA from 1 species
UUAUCGAGAUCUCAGCUUCUUCAUAAGCUCCCACACGAAUUGCUUGAUUCACUGGUUAGACGAUUGGGUCUGUAGCUCAGUUGGUUAGAGCGCACCCCUGAUAAGGGUGAGGUCGGCAGUUCGAAUCUGCCCAGACCCACCAAUUGUUGGUGUGCUGCGUGAUCCGAUACGGGGCCAUAGCUCAGCUGGGAGAGCGCCUGCUUUGCACGCAGGAGGUCAGGAGUUCGAUCCUCCUUGGCUCCACCAUCUAAAACAAUCGUCGAAAGCUCAGAAAUGAAUGUUCGUAGAUGAACAUUGAUUUCUGGUCUUUGCACCAGAACUGUUCUUUAAAAAUUCGGGUAUGUGAUAGAAGUAAGACUGAAUGAUCUCUUUCACUGGUGAUCAUUCAAGUCAAGGUAAAAUUUGCGAGUUCAAGCGCGAAUUUUCGGCGAAUGUCGUCUUCACAGUAUAACCAGAUUGCUUGGGG